UUUCCGUAGGUGAACCUGCGGAAGGAUCAUUGACAUCUUUCUUUUACUUAUGAUAGGGUAAAACCUGUCAUAAACCACAGUGAAAUGUUAAAGUUACUUUUAAUGGUGGCUUUUAUUAACUCCAAACUUUGCCUCUUCUCUUUAAUAGGAGAUGGAGACAUUUUAUACAAUAUCAUAUAACUAUGAUACAACCCCCAACGAUGGAUAUCUCGGCUCCUGCAUCGAUGAAGAAGCAGC
rnacentral:misc_RNA from 1 species